rnacentral:rRNA from 1 species
UACGUAGGGCGCAAGCGUUGUCCGGAAUUAUUGGGCGUAAAGAGCUCGUAGGCGGCUUGUCACGUCGGAUGUGAAAGCCCGAGGCUUAACCUCGGGUCUGCAUUCGAUACGGGCUAGCUAGAGUGUGGUAGGGGAGAUCGGAAUUCCUGGUGUAGCGGUGAAAUGCGCAGAUAUCAGGAGGAACACCGGUGGCGAAGGCGGCUAUCUGGACUGACAUUGACGCUGAGGCGCGAAAGCGUGGGGAGCAAACGGG